rnacentral:tRNA from 1 species
ACUUGUAACUUUUAUAGCAUUUGAUUUGAAAUCAAAUUGAUUGUUUUUAUUAACAAUACAAGUU